UACGUAGGUGACAAGCGUUGUCCGGAUUUACUGGGCGUAAAGAGCGCGCAGGCGGUCGAUCAAGUCGAGUGUGAAAGCCCCCGGCUCAACUGGGGAGGGUCAUUCGAUACUGAUCGACUCGAAGGCAGGAGAGGGUAGUGGAAUUUCCGGUGUAGCGGUGAAAUGCGUAGAUAUCGGAAGGAACAUCAGUGGCGAAGGCGACUUCCUGGACCAAUACUGACGCUCAGGUGCGAAAGCGUGGGGAGCAAACAGG
rnacentral:rRNA from 1 species